GGCUGCCCACGGACUGGAUGCCAAGCCGCCAAACCAGCUGCUAAGACAGACCACGAAGCCAAGUGCGAGGCCUCAGGAGAGCAGGAAGCCCCACCAGCGGGGACGGACUCCCAGGCAUGGUCAGCGGGGCGAGGUUAUGCCACACAGGAUGGGCCAACCUGGGGACGGAGAGAAGCUGUUUCCACAUGUCAUUUGCAAAGAACAAACAAGCCAGAGUGUCCUUCCCCUGACUUCCGAAGUUACAGCACAGCUAGAAGUUGGAGAAGAGUUAUUUCUGGAAGGAGAAAAGAGGGGCCUGAACUCCAUGCACUG